AAAAUCUUUCCAAGUAUUUGUGACUUGACUAGAACAUAGCAAGUGCCAGCAAAACCAGCAGAAGCUUGGAGAAGCUGUUACACAAUGAAUAUAUCAAAGACAUACAAACACACUCAAGAUAAUAAUGGAAGGCAAAGCAGUCAUUUAUAAUUAAAACUUUAUACAAGAUGUUCAGCUCAACUCUGUAAAAGGUGUGUGGACAUUAUUUCCUACCAACUCUGAAGAGCUGUCACACAGAGAAAUGGAAAUCUUGAACACAAGGCUUUUAAAAACUUAAGCAUACGAAUAGAUGCAUGUUUAAGAAGAGACAGAGAUAUGCCAACUCUUUAUUACAUCGCAGUCCAAAUCCAAGAUCCUGAAUAAUAUGGCAGGAUGGCUAAAUUUUCUCUGUCCAGAGGAAAGAAGUCUCCCAAACUUCCAUGCAUCACUGUUCAAUGAAAACGAUCCACAGCAGAACGGAACUUUUGCUUUCCAUCUCAAGAUAGCAAAGGUCACAUACCACACCACACUAGACAGAUCUUAGGUAUCAAUCAAUUACAGUGGCUAUGUCUGCCUACAGUUAACGAACUUAACUAGCCAGCAGAAGAUCAUGUGAUGUGCUCCUUAAUGGUCAAACUCUAGAGAAGUCAACAUCAGUUUUGAAAAGUACAGAAGGAGAGGGCAAAAGCAUUAACCAGGCACCAAAAGCUACAUUUCUGAAGUACAUGAAAGAUGUGGCUAGUUCUAGCUGCUGCACUAAAGCAUUUUCAGCUAAAGGUGCCUCCGAGAAGUCAUAAGCAUCUGCCAAUUAUAUCACCUCAUUGAAGUGAUUAUCCAUAUGGAAAAACAAAUGCUGGUAUUUUCAAAAGCUCUACAUCUGAAGGAGACUGUGGGUUCCUUUUAUUGUCAUCAGAGCUAGCUAGAAAAAAAAGUUAUCUUAAAGUAUCUAUCACUCAUCAAAUAAACCUAUACCCUCAAAUCCCUGUCUCCAUUAAAUAAACAGCUCCUAGUGUGACUAGCUCAG
rnacentral:lncRNA from 7 species